UGAAAGAAUGUUCACAGAAUGGAAGUUUUAGUCUAAAGUUCAACAAUACAGUAUGACUGAUAGUUACAGAAUGGAAGGUUUAGUCUAAAGUUCAACAAUACAGUAUGACUGAUAGUUACAGAAUGGAAGUAGUCUAAAGUUCAACAAUACAGUAUGACUGAUAGUUACAGAAUGGAAGGUUUAGUCUAAAGUUCCACAAUACAGUAUGACUGAUAGUUACAGAAUGGAAGGUUUAGUCUAAAGUUCAACAAUACAGUAUGACUGAUAGUUACAGAAUGGAAGGUUUAGUCUAAAGUUCAACAAUACAGUAUGACUGAUAGUUACAGAAUGGAAGGUUUAGUCUAAAGUUCAACAAUACAGUAUGACUGAUAGUUACAGAAUGGAAGGUUUAGUCUAAAGUUCAACAAUACAGUAUGACUGAUAGUUACAGAAUGGAAGGUUUAGUCUAAAGUUCAACAAUACAGUAUGACUGAUAGUUACAGAAUGGAAGGUUUAGUCUAAAGUUCAACAAUACAGUAUGACUGAUAGUUACAGAAUGGAAGGUUUAGUCUAAAGUUCAACAAUACAGUAUGACUGAUAGUUACAGAAUGGAAGGUUUAGUCUAAAGUUCA